rnacentral:sRNA from 1 species
CACUGCACUCCAGGCUGGGUGACAGCGAGACCCUGUCUCAAAAAAUAAAUAUUUAUUUGAGCUGUGGGCAGUGAGGUCUUGAAUGGUAAAGUGAUGCUUCCAAGAUGACAGGUCCCACUUGGGGAAGGGCUCCAGGGUACCUUCUCUUACCUCCUCCCCACUCCAGGCCCAAGGAGAGGCCAUGAGGGCAGUGCUGAUCCCAAUUCGAGAGGUUCUGACCCCAGAAUCGGAUAUCUCCAUUGCACACGUUCUGGCUGCCCGAGCCGACCUGUCUUGUCUCGUCCCAGCCACCAGCGUGGCUGUCCGCAGAGGGACCUGCUGUGCCAUCAACAAGGUGCUUAUGGGCAACGUUCCAGACCGGGGGGGCCGCCCAAAUGAGCUGGAGCCUCCCAUGCCCACCUGGAGGAGCCGAAGAGAGGAUGGAGGCCCCCAGUGUUGGGGUCGCAAGAAGAAGAAGAAGAAGAAGUAAAGGGGGACUGGUGGUCGGGGGCGGGGGGUCCUCCAUGAGAUGCUAAUGCUAUCGGUAAUCUCUGGGGAGUCCGUUUAAGGCUUUCCUUGGUAUUUGGCACCCAAGCCCCCCAUCUCCUAUUCCUGAGUCCCCAAAUGCCCUGCUCCCAUUCACGUCAAUACCAAGAACCAUGUUCUCCAGAGAAUAAAUUUAAUUUAUGACAGC